GAUGAAGAACGCAGCGAAAUGCGAUACUUUGUGUGAAUUGCAGAAUCCCGUGAACCAUCGAGUCUUUGAACGCAAGUUGCGCCCGAAGCCAUCAGGUUGAGGGCACGUCUGCCUUGGCGUCACAUAUCGUUGCCCAAUGCCUAUUGCAGUGCAAUAGGAAUUUCUAGGGCGAAUGAUGGCUUCCCGUGAGCGUUGUUGCCUCGCGGUUGGUUGAAAAUCGAGUCCUUGGUAGGGUGUGCCAUGGUAGAUGGUGGUCGAGUUAGAACGAUACCGAUCAUGUGCAUGCUCCCCAAAAUAUGGCCUCUAUGACCCACACGCGUCUUUUGACGCUCAUGACGAGACCUCAGGUCAGGCGGGGCUACCCGCUGAAUUUAAGCAUAUCAAUAAGCGGAGGA
rnacentral:misc_RNA from 1 species